GAACACGAAGAGGGAGCCAUCUGCCA
rnacentral:piRNA from 1 species